UACGUAGGUGGCAAGCGUUGUCCGGAUUUACUGGGCGUAAAGAGCGCGCAGGCGGUCGUGCAAGUCGCGUGUGAAAGCCCCCGGCUCAACUGGGGAGGGUCACGCGAUACUGCUCGACUCGAAGGCAGGAGAGGGUAGUGGAAUUCCCGGUGUAGUGGUGAAAUGCGUAGAUAUCGGGAGGAACACCAGUGGCGAAGGCGACUACCUGGCCUGUUCUUGACGCUGAGGCGCGAAAGCUAGGGGAGCAAACGGG
rnacentral:rRNA from 1 species